AGUCCUGUGCAGCUCAUCAGCCCCACAGGGAGACGACAGGGCACUCCAGAGCCUCCUACUGACAAGUGCUCGGCCACGCAGGACCCGGAGGGAGAUCCCUGCUCCAGCAUUACGCCAGAGCCAGUGCAAGUCACACCUGCUGAGGCACUGGGGGCACCAGUCCUGGAAGGCUUCUGCUGAGCUGCCCGUUCAGGCUUCCAACCCAGGCUUCCAUCCUAGGGAUGGGUCGCAGAGCUGAUGUUGGUGCCUGGCACCUCGUCUCCCCCACCUUCCCAGGGCUGUGGACAUAUCUCCGGGGUGAGGGGGAAUUGUAAUUGACAGCCAUCUCUCCACGGAUGCGGUCUGGAUACAGACAGCCUGCACCUGUGCAGAGAAGCGGGUCCUGAGACCCUUUCUAGAGGUGCUGGAAGACACCUGCCGUGACAAAAGCUAGCUUGUGUCCUUAAAGUGUCAGGUGCUGGAUGUUGUGGUCAUGCAGGGGCCAGGCCCUGCAGUAGAAGAGGGCAGGGAGCAGGCCGAGAAGCCCUCCUGGGUUUCCUAUCAGGGCUCUCCACCCACAUCCUUGCCCCGUGGCCUUGGCUGGAGGCCUUUAGGUGACCAGGGGUGUGGGGUUAGCUGGCCAGAAAGGAUGGGUUUGCAGCCGGGGCACGGCUGGGCAGAGGAUAGAAGCACAGACAUUAAUUACAGCUCCUGCAAGCUUAACAGAAGACAGACAGGUCAGAGGGGCGCUGGAGACUCACAGGGAGGACAGGGACCAGGGAGGCGGUGGAGCUGGGAUGCAGCUUCAGACCCUGGAAGAGACUGCGCAGAGGCUGCUGCGGCCCCAGCUUUGCCAGCACCCGCUGGGUACUGUAUGAGCUUAGCCCAUUGCGGACUGGGCCCGGAUCCUCCCCAUCCAGGCACCCGGGAGCAGGGACAAGUGGCUGCCUGCCCCACCCCGCCACUGCUGGACUGCUGAUGCCAUAGCUGCUGUCUUUUUAAUUUUUUUAUUCUACUGGGAAUCGAACUCAGGACCUCGCACUUGCCAGCCCUGCCAUGGACGGUUUCUCCUUCUCCAGGCCCCUCUGCCAUGCUGCCCUGCCUUGGAGUCAGCUGACCUUGGACUGAAACCAUGAGCCGAAACAACCUUCUCCUCCUAAAAGGAAGCCAAAAUACAAAGCACAAGUCUAGAGAAGACGAGAGAAGGCACGUUCCGAGGAGCGCGCGCCUAGGCUUUAACAGGAAAAGUUGGAUUGAAUGAAAAAGAACCUUUGCGCCGGGGAUGUAGCUCAGUGGCACAAGCGCAAGGUCCCGAGUUCCGUUCCCGGUAUCAAAAAUAAAGACAAAGACAAAAGGAAAAAACCUUUGACUCCUUCCAAGAACCUUCGCCUCGUUCCAAGAACCUUCAACAUUGAAAAGAGCUAACUGAUUCUUAUUUUUUUCCACUUGAUUUCUAAAGUCUAACUUUCAAAAAUUUCAGAAUCACAGUUAAAGAAAAUACUAAAAGUAUUUCACCACUGCCUGUGUGUAGGAGGCUUUUCACGGACGGUGACCCCAUCCCUAAGGAGGCUGCGGCAGGAAUCGAGUGCCCAUUUCAGGCAGAAGACAGGAUGCAAAAAAGUUAGAUUCCCCAAGGCGAGCCCACAUUUCUCAAUCAAACACUGGAACACGUCCUAAAGGCGCGUAACGUGGUGUAAACGUGGGUCCGCACCCUAAACCUCAUAUUGGAGUUUGAGCGCCGGUGUCAGGGGUGUCAGGAGGGGCUCUCAGGAGAGGACGGCUGGAGGGGCGGGGUGAAUGCCUCUGUCCCUGCCCUGGAGGCUAUGGGUGAGGGAGGAGCCCUCCUCUCAGGCACAGGAGGGGCAAGUGCUAGAAACCCUAACCUUUGUUUAGUCAGUGGGAGCCCAGCAGGUGCGGAGGAGCCCUUUCUCGGACGGCCCACUCUUAGAGCCAGGAGCAAAUAAAAUUCUUCAUUUGUCGGGGUUACUGAGUCUCAGGAAUUCAGUCGUAGCAACAGAAAACAAGCUAGCCAUGAAGACAUUACCAAAAUCAGUGAUAUGUUCCCUAAUGUUGUUCUAUGUUGUUUUAAAAAUUAAAAAAAUUAUU